AGCGAUUUCUUUGGUCGGUUAGGUACUUUGGUUUGAAGUGAUACAACUAAGUCGAACUUACAAUGUUAAUGACCCUAGACUUCAUUUUGAGGCAGACAUCGAAUAACCCCAAGAGAAAAUGUCUUGAGUAUUACGUCCACUGGGCUAUGGGUUUUAACCCUGGAUUCUGACCACCGUGCUUCUGACGUUGUUGGACAGUUCUGAUUCUGACAGGUUAUGAGGCACGUGGACAGCUGUUAUCUCAGGAGGCGGUGCAGGACCAAUGAAGCCUUUCCACGGGGAGUAAAAAAUCUCACAGCACUACUUCUUCCCCUGGGAAGGUUGUGAAUGAUACUAUGCACAAAAUACAGAGUAUCAGUGGGUGCUCUAAGAUUGAGAGUCAACCCUGAAAGGAAAAGCAGGGACAACGAGGGUUCCUCCUUACAUCUCUUGUCCCGUCAGACAUUACAUGGACGCACAUGGCAUACCUCCCACUCAAUAUCUCAACGGAAUUCAUUUGGGACGAAAACAAGAUGCCGGUUUCCAAGGUGAGCGGCAACUGCCAUUCACUGAAGUGUCAGUCAAGGAAACAUUGUCGGCGGGGCUUCAUUCAUCGAAAAAAAAAAAAUCUGCAUCGAUCAAGUUCAGUUCGAGGACGAAGAGGACGUCAUGGUGGUCUUCAACUGGUUUGAGGAGUAUCACAUCCUCGGAAAGCUCCGCACCAACCACGGGAUCGGGAUAAGAAUUCCACCACAGCUUCCACCAGCCUUGUGGACCGUAGAGCCUCUCAUGGAAAACCACCAACCUCGAGGCACGAACUGCCUGGUGGCAUGGCAUCGGCGACUCGGGGUCCUGAUCAGAGAGACGCACCCUGGCCUCCUUUUCCUGCGCCGCCUGCGGGCUGAGCAGGAUCAGAUUGAGAGGGUAUGGAAAGUGCUGACCUGCACGGCCAACAGCGACCCCGAAAGAGUAUUUUACGUGGGGGUGCUAGCGGUCGAAUUAAA
rnacentral:lncRNA from 1 species